rnacentral:SRP_RNA from 1 species
GCCGAGCUAGGUAACGGUAGUUUGUAACCUGAGUGGGGACAGUAAGGUGAUGGAAGAAGUAAUGUUGGAGGAAGAAGAAGAUAGAGCCUUAUUUAAUGUUUCUUCUCCUUUGGUAUAAUAUACAUAAGAGGUGUGUUGUAAUACUGAAAAUCGCAAACUCCACAAUGUAUUCCACAAUGUACUUGUAAUACGAAAAUCGCACACUCCACAACGUAGAAGAAAUGUUUCACUAGCUUCUUCUCCUCAAUAGUAAUACUGCUUCAACCGUCACCUUU